rnacentral:siRNA from 1 species
CAUGACUCCGCGUAUUGAAAUGUC